UUCAGGACAAAUACUACCUGAACGUGCUGCCCGAUCUCGGAAGCUAAGCAGGGUCAGGUCUGGUUAGUACUUGGAAGGGAGACCGCCUGGGAAUACUGGGGUGCCGUAG